rnacentral:rRNA from 1 species
AUGGGUGGAUUAAGAAUUAACUUACUGCGCGCAGACGUUGCAGCUCUUCCUGCAGAAGCCAGGAGCUUCCUUGGUGCCCACCAUAUAGUUGGGGUUCUUGGCGCACUCCCCAACGGCAGCCCACUGCGAGCAGAGGACAUUCUCGUCCUCGCACCCACCUCCCUGCUUGCCCGAGUUUUCGAAGGACCUCACAUGGAUCCAUUUCGUGGCGGACCACUUCUGGCCUUCGAUGACGGGGCAGCUCCCGUGCAAACUGUCAGGGUCUGUCGUUGCAUCAGGGUGGAGGCUGAAGAACAGCAGGGCGUUACCUUUUACGGGCUUUACUGCAUACGACAACAAACAAUUUAA